CUCUCCUCUAAACGCUGCAGUUAAAAUGCUGGCAGUGUGGUGAUUCGUCUCCAGCUGCUGCUGCUGUCAUUCUUCCCCACAAAGAAACAAAAGAGUAUUGUGGAAAACAUCCAAAGCAGAAGAAUGUGUCCUCAGGAUUAGCAUUUCUUCACUUUAAUAGGUAGAAGAAUAAUACAUGUCAGUGUCAAAAACAGUCAAGAUGUGACACCUCCUGCUUCUUCCAUCUGUUACCCUGUUGCAGAAGGAAACUAGAUUAGUAUGUCACCACCUAGUCUUAUCCAGAAAAGACUAUAUACACUGAAUUCAAGCCUUUAUGAGGCCUGGAGCAGCAGUUUGCAAACUGUGGCCUCAAGUGAAGGCACUGCCUGUGAGGGGAGGCACCAACCUGACUGAAAUCAAACCGGAGGAGUGGGGUUCACAAGCUGAAGUACAUCUGUCAGGGUUAAUGAGGUGUCACAGGCUGGGCAGGGGGGCUGCUAGAGCAAUCCGGUGUGAGGCACCGCCCUAGAGCCUUUUUCCAUCUGUCUUUUCUACAGGUGAGUAUGGUGUCUUGAGACACUAGUGUUUGAGCCAAGUGACAUUCAGAUGCUAUUUGUAGCAAAAGAAAACGAAAACAGUUGGAUCUCUGGAACACACCAAAAGAAAAAUAAACCAUUAAAAUAUGACUUUCAUUCAGAUAUGUAAUGAAAAUGCACAGAAGAUGUCCUUCAGAGGGACAGGGGAAAUACAACAUGCAGCCAGAGAUCUGAAACCUACAGUCAUUAGCUUGACCAUCCUUAGCAGGGCACGCCAAGAUGAAACAAAUAUUAGGGAAAACUUGAUACACAUUAAUAUAAUUUAUCUUUAGAGGUGUACAGCAUACACCAUGUCACAUCACACUUCUGUCUCAGAAGAGAGAAGUAGGUACUUUGAGUAUAUAAUUCAUCUAGUCUGUUUUAGAGAGGAGCUGCACUCAUAAAUACCCAUUUGUGUAGAGCAUGAUCUGACAGGUCAGAUGUAGACAUUUGUAUUUUAUAUGUCUAAUGUUAAGUUAUGCAUUUCUUGCUUUUUGUGUCAGGUGCAUAACAAAUCACUUCUGGUCUCUUAAUUCUUAUGGGAAGAGGGGCAAUAUCUCCACAUCGGGAAUGCACUGUUAAUUUGAAUUUUAGGAAAGCUUGAUAUCAGCAGGGCGCUAUUUAAAUGUACAAUAUCUAAAUGCCACCAAUUAUAACCCAAAAUAUAAGCAUAAGCUUCUAAUCUGCUGGAUAUAUCACUUCUCUCGUAACUGCCAUCAUUCCUCUUGUUGCCUGGUUAAGAACUGCAGAUUUAGAUGAAGACUCUCCUAGCCCUGAAAAAAUCUUAAGAAAGAGGAAGGCUUUAUGACUCGCAUUAGGGAGUUCCUAUUAAGAAACUGCCACUGUCA